UGGUUAUGUGUGCCCAAGCAUUGAGGCAGUCAAAGUAGGCAAAUCCGCUUUGAUAAUGCUGGGAUGUGAUGGGGAGCGAAAUUUAGUAGCGAAGUAGCUGAUUUCACACUGUCAAGAAAAGUCUCUAUCGAGGUUAAAGGUACCCGUACCGCAAACCGACACAGGUGGGUGAGGAGAGUAUCCUAAGGCCAGCGAGAGAACUGUUGUUAAGGAACUCGGCAAAAUGACCCCGUAACUUAGGGAUAAGGGGUGCCACCAUCAGGUGGCCGCAGAGAAUAGGCCCAAGCGACUGUUUACCAAAAACAUAGGUUUCUGCUAAGUCGCAAGACGAUGUAUAGGAGCUGACGCCUGCCCGGUGCUGGAAGGUUAAGGGGAUCUGUUAGAGCAAUCGAAGCAGUGAACUUAAGCCCCAGUAAACGGCGGCCGUAACUAUAACGGUCCUAAGGUAGCGAAAUUCCUUGUCGGGUAAGUUCCGACCCGCACGAAAGGCGUAACGAUUUGGGCACUGUCUCAACAACAGACUCGGUGAAAUUGUAAUUCCGGUGAAGAUGCCGGAUACCUGCGACAGGACGGAAAGACCCCAUGGAGCUUUACUGUAGCUUGACAUUGGGUCUUGGUACUACAUGUACAGGAUAGGUGGGAGGCUUUGAAACCAGGACGCCAGUUUUGGCGGAGCCAUCCUUGGGAUACCACCCUUGUAGUACUGGGACUCUAACCAUAGGCCAUGAAUCUGGUCUUGGGACACUGUCAGGUGGGCAGUUUGACUGGGGCGGUCGCCUCCCAAAAGGUAACGGAGGCGCUCAAAGGUUCUCUCAGUACGGUCGGAAAUCGUACGUAGAGUGUAAAGGCAAAAGAGAGCUUGAUUGCAAGACAUACAGGUCGAGCAAGGAUGAAAAUCGGACUUAGUGAUCCGGUGGUUCUGCGUGGAAGGGCCAUCGCUCAACGGAUAAAAGCUACCCUGGGGAUAACAGGCUUAUCUCCCCCAAGAGUCCACAUCGACGGGGAGGUUUGGCACCUCGAUGUCGGCUCAUCACAUCCUGGGGCUGUAGUAGGUCCCAAGGGUUGGGCUGUUCGCCCAUUAAAGUGGUACGCG
rnacentral:rRNA from 1 species